UACGUAGGUGGCGAGCGUUGUCCGGAUUUACUGGGCGUAAAGCGCGCGUAGGUGGCUUUCUAAGUCCUGUCGUGAAAGGUCGUGGCCCAACUGCGACACUGCGGAGGAUACUGGGAAGCUUGAGGGCAGCAGAGGCCGGUGGAAUUCCCGGUGGAGUGGUGAAAUGCGUAGAUAUCGGAAGGAACAUCAGUGGCGAAAGCGACUUCCUGGACCAGUACCGACGUUCAGGCACGAAAGCGUGGGGAGCAAACAGG
rnacentral:rRNA from 1 species